GGGAUUACGGUGGAUACCUAGGCACCCUGAGACGAGAAAGGGCAUCGUAAGUGAUGAAAUGCUUUGGGGAGUUGAAAAUGAGCAUAGAUCCAGAGAUUCCUGAAUAGGUUAACCUUUUUAACUUCUUCUUAAUCCAUGGGUAGGCAAGAGACAACCUGGUGAACUGAAACAUCUUAGUAGCUAGAGGAAUAGAAAGAAAAAUUGAUUCCCAUAGUAGUGGCAAGCGAAAUGGGAGUAGCCUAAACUGUGAAAACGGGGUUGUGGGAGAGCACAAUAUAAGCUCUGUGCUGCAACGCGAAGCAGUUGAGUCCUACACCCUAGAUGGUGAGAGUCCAAUAGCCAAAAACAUCAUUGGGUUACGCUCUAACCCGAGUAGCAUGGGGCACGUGGAAUCCCGUGUGAAUUAGCAAGGACCACCUUGCAAGGCUAAAUACUCCUGGGUGAUCGAUAGCGAAGUAGUACCGUGAAGGAAAGGUGAAAAGAACCCCCAUCGGGGAGUGAAAUAGAACAUGAAACCGUAAGCUCCCAAGCAGUGGGAGGAAAAUGAUAUCUCUAACUGCGUGCCUAUUGAAGAUUGAGUCGGAGACUUAUAGGCAGUGGCUUGGUUAAGGGAACCCACUGGAGUCAUAGCAAGAGAGAGUCUUCAUGGGGCAAUUGUCACUUCUUAUGGACCCGAACCUAGGUGAUCUAUCCAUGACUAGGAUGAAGAUUGGGUGAAACUAAGUGGAGGUCUGAACUGACUGAUGUUGAAAAAUCAGUGGAUGAGUCGUGGUUAGGGGUGAAAUGCCACUCAAACCCAAAGCUAGCUGGUUCUCCUCGAAAUGCGUUGAGGUGCAACAGUUGACUAGACCAUCUAGGGGUAAAGCACUAUUUCAGUACGGGCCGCGAGAGCGGUACCAAAUCAAGGCAAACUCUGAAUACUAGAUUGCCCCAAUAAAAGGGGUAAAGGUCAGCCAGUGAGACGAUGGGGGAUAAGCUUCAUCGUCGAGAGGGAAACAACCCAAAUAAUCAGCUAAUGCCCCUAAAUGACUGCUCAGUGAUGAACGAAGUACGAGUGAAAAGACAGCCAGGAGGUUUGCCUAGAAGCAGCCAACCUUGAAAGAGUGUGUAAUAGCUCAUUGAUCGAGUGCUCUUACGCCAAAGAUGAAUGGGACUAGGCAAUCUGUCGAAGCUGUGGGAUGUAAAAAUACAUCAAUAGGGGAGCGUUCUGCCUCAGAGGGAAGCAUUGGCAUGAGAAAGUGUGGACAAAGCGGAAGUGAGAAUGUCGGCUUGAGUAAUGCAAACAUUGGUGAGAAUACAAUGCCCCAAAAACCUAAGGUUUUCUCUGCAAGGUUCAUCCACGGAGGGUGAGUCAGGGCCUAAGAUCAGGCCAAAAGGCAUAGUCGAUGGACAACAAGUUAAUAUUCAUGUACUACCCCUUGUUGGUCCUGAGGGACGGAGGAGGCUAGGUUAGCUUAAAUAUGGUUAUCGGUCCAAGGACGCAAGGUGACCCUCUAUACAUUGAUUCAAAGGUAAAAGAAGAAUCAAAUAUAGGUGUGUACAAGGUGAGGUUG
rnacentral:ncRNA from 1 species